AGGGAUAACCAUGUGGUGUGUGGAACUAGGCAAAACGCCUCUGUUACUUCGGAAGAAACCUACGGAGGACCUACUUAACGCUAGUAGGUGGCACAAAAAGGGAGUUGGCGAGUGGAUGGUAA
rnacentral:rRNA from 12 species